UGGGGAAUAUUGCACAAUGGGCGCAAGCCUGAUGCAGCCAUGCCGCGUGUGUGAAGAAGGCCUUCGGGUUGUAAAGCACUUUCAGCGGGGAGGAAGGCGAUAAGGUUAAUAACCUUGUCGAUUGACGUUACCCGCAGAAGAAGCACCGGCUAACUCCGUGCCAGCAGCCGCGGUAAUACGGAGGGUGCAAGCGUUAAUCGGAAUUACUGGGCGUAAAGCGCACGCAGGCGGUCUGUCAAGUCGGAUGUGAAAUCCCCGGGCUUAACCUGGGAACUGCAUUCGAAACUGGCAGGCUAGAGUCUUGUAGAGGGGGGUAGAAUUCCAGGUGUAGCGGUGAAAUGCGUAGAGAUCUGGAGGAAUACCGGUGGCGAAGGUGGCCCCCUGGACAAAGACUGACGCUCAGGUGCGAAAGCGUGGGGAGCAAACAGG
rnacentral:rRNA from 1 species